rnacentral:misc_RNA from 1 species
AACCAUAGAAACCUGCGGAGUACCUGCGGAAGGAUCAUUAAUAGAGUGUAACCCCCCCUGUAAAAAAAAGGGGGUAACCUCCCGUCCUUUGCUGGUCCCCUAUUUGGGGGGUCUUUUAUUUUGACUUUGCUUCGGUGGGGUAACCCACCGGAACACCCUUAAAAAUUCUUGAUUUUAAAAAUUGUUCAGUCCGAGAUUAUAUUUUAAACAAAUUGAAAACUUUCAACAACGGAUCUCAGA